rnacentral:rRNA from 1 species
UACGGGGGGAGCAAGCGUUGUUCGGAUUUACUGGGCGUAAAGGGCGCGUAGGCGGCGUGACAAGUCACUUGUGAAAUCUCCGGGCUUAACCCGGAAACUGCCUUUGAUACUAUCGGUCUUGAAUAUGGUGGAGGUCAGCGGAAUAUGUCAUGUAGCGGUGAAAUGCUUAGAUAUGACAUAGAACACCCAUUGCGAAGGCAGCUGACUACGCCUAUAUUGACGCUGAGGCACGAAAGCGUGGGGAUCAAACAGG